GAUGAACGCUGGCGGCGUGCCUAAUACAUGCAAGUCGAGCGAACGGACGAGAAGCUUGCUUUUCUGAUGUUAGCGGCGGACGGGUGAGUAACACGUGGAUAACCUACCUAUAAGACUGGGAUAACUUCGGGAAACCGGAGCUAAUACCGGAUAAUAUUUUGAACCGCAUGGUUCAAAAGUGAAAGACGGUCUUGCUGUCACUUAUAGAUGGAUCCGCGCUGCAUUAGCUAGUUGGUCAGGUAACGGCUUACCAAGGCAACGAUGCAUAGCCGACCUGAGAGGGUGAUCGGCCACACUGGAACUGAGACACGGUCCAGACUCCUACGGGAGGCAGCAGUAGGGAAUCUUCCGCAAUGGGCGAAAGCCUGACGGAGCAACGCCGUGUGAGUGAUGAAGGUCUUCGGAUCGUAAAACUCUGUUAUUAGGGAAGAACAUAUGUGUAAGUAACUGUGCACAUCUUGACGGUACCUAAUCAGAAAGCCACGGCUAACUACGUG
rnacentral:rRNA from 1 species